rnacentral:tRNA from 1 species
AGUGCUGUGGCUCAGCGGGUUAAAGCCCUGGCCUGAAACGCCAUCAUAUGGGCACCGGUUCUAGUCCUGUCUGCUCCU